UCAUCAUCCUCAUCUGCUUGUAAGUACUCAAUCUAGUAUAUUAUUAGUGACACUAAUCUAUAAUUUACCUCACAUUAAAGGGACACUAUAGCUUACUGAAGUGGUUCUGGUGUCUAUAGCUGGUCCCUGUAGGCUUUUUAAUGUAAACACACACUGUGUGCAGCACUGGCGUUAGUUCAUAUGGCAGAUCAUAUGGGUGAGGCAUUGUGAUGUGACAUGUGGGGGCAGCAAAUUUUUAUUUUGUCUAGGGCGGCAAAAAUCCUUGCACCGGUUCUGAUCCUGGGCAGGUGCACCAGUCUACUUGACUGGUUUUGCCCCCCAGGCCUAAGGCUGCC